rnacentral:lncRNA from 1 species
UCUGAUCUAACCAUGAAGACGUGCGGCUGUUUCCAGUCCUCUUUUACUCUAAGGAUAACCUGAGUAAAAAUUGAUUUAAAAUGAAACAAAGAGUCUUGAACUGAAGGAGUGAUCCCUUUGAAGAUCCAAUCAUUUCUGGCCAUCCAAAUAUUUCAACACAUGAUAAUUAUGACUUCCAUUAAGAAUUGAACCUGCAGCUGAAUUCUGAAGCUAUUUAGAAUUUCAUAUGGUUUUUCAGACAAAUUAGGAAACAUGCCUAUAUGAAUCCAACAUUCCUGAGCAAAAGAACAUCUAAGUAGGAGGUGGAAUAAAGUUUUCUCUCCACCAUGCUGACAAAGUACACAUUCAUAUGAAGGUAAGAUCAUAUGUUUCCUUCUAAGAAUGACCAGUGAGAUGACGAUAAGCUUUUGAUGAUGAAUAAUAUGGGCUGCCUAAAUGUAUGUCCAUAUAUCUGGUUUAGAUCCUCCAAACUGGCAGCCAGAUGCAUCAGUUGAUCAAGUGCCUGAGUUGAAAGAGGAAGAUGGAACAAUUGCUGAACAUCUACUAUUUCUUGGGCUUUUUGAAUAGAAAUUUCCUGCUUUUUGGUGAAGGAGAGGAGUUGGGGGUAUUCCUAAGUUGGCACUCGAUCUUUCCACAGAUCAUUCCAAAGAGAGCAUGUGUAUCCAUCAUUAACUGAAACCGUUGCAAGUCCUUUAUAUUUAUUCAAAAGCUUUAGAACAUCUUUCCACCAGAAAGAGCCCUUCCUUACAUGACUUGGCAGUUUUCCAUUAGAGUAAUAUUUCUCCCAUAACAGAUGUCCCCAAGGAAUAUCCGCUCUGUUAAAGAACUUAUGUAAGAAUUUGAGUAUUAAGGCUUCAUUUUGUGUUUUGAGAUUCAGAACUCCCAAACUCCCUUCUUUCUUUGGAAGGCAGACCAUUUCCCAGGCUGCUUUAGGUGAUUUUCUGUUAUUAAUGUCUAAACCUCUCCAAAGGUAAUGCUUCCUAUAUUUAUCAAUCUGCUUAUACACUAUGAAAUAUAGGUAGAGCAGUGAAAAUUGAAUUAGUUAACUGAAGGCGGCCGAGCCUUGCAAGCCCGCCAGCCAAGCUGGGUGCCGCCGUCGGCUUUCUGCUCGAUUCGCCGCGUCGAAGCAUUGCUGGAGCAAGCUGACGCUGCCCCGAGCUUCGCCUCACCAGGCCACACACCUGCCACCUCUUCUCGUCAUCAUACCGCCGUCGGAGCGCCGCCAACCACUGAAGCCUGGGCCGAGUACCGCCGCCGGGCUUGGCAGCUCGAUUCGACGCAUCGAGGUACCACCGGAGCCGGCCAACGCCACCAGGAGCAUCAUGAUGUCAAGCAGCGUGCUUUUCACUGGCCGUCAUCAUCGAUUCGCCGCCGCACGACCUCGUUCCCGUGAAGGUUGAGCCAAUCGCCAUCUUCCACCGCGGCUGAGCCUAAUUCCGGCCACUGCCGUUGUCCUCCGCCGCCGGUGAGCAUAUCCGAAAUCUCCCCUCGACCUCCUCUAUCUACCUCGCCGCUUCCCCUCGCCAUAGCCGGCCGGAGCACUGCCUAUUUUGGCUGGCCGAGCCGCCAUUCGUCAUGGGAGCAAGCUCCCAGAGCUUUUCAAGUUAGCCCCUAUGCUUUUGCAUGUAGACCCUCGAGCUAAUCUGUAAUAUCUGGUCGAUUCUUUGUGUCUUGGCAGAUUUAUAGAAUGACUCUUAAACCUUUUAGAUCCUUUCAACCUAACCCAAGCUGAGACCUUUUAUGGAUCUAACCCUGAGUUCCAAUCUAUUCGUGAGCAUUGUUCAAUGUGUCUCGGGAAUCUUCCUUGCUAGCACCUGUCGUCUAUGGUCAAUCACGAUUAGAUCCUUAAUCCUUGUUUAACCAAUAGAAUUCACGUUUUACCUCCGUUUAACCUGGUUCUUGUUGCGUUAGAUUCAUGUCAACUUAAAUCAUGUAUUAGAAGCAGUGUUGAUCAUAUUCUCUAUUUUGUAAUUUAUUCAAAAUAUUAAUGUGAUUGAGUACUUAUACACUUGCUUUCCUAAUUAAAUCUAAUUAGAGUUAACCCCGUGUUUUCAUAUUAAAUGUUAAUUUGAUUAAUGUUUAUUUAAAUAACUCCUCCAAUUAAAAGCUAAUUAGAGAUAUACCUUGGCUUUUCAUAAUUUAAACUCAAUUUGAUUAAUGUGUAUUCAGUUUGUUUUAUAAAUAAAAGCUACAUAGGUUAUAUCUUGAAUUUUCAUGAUUAAAUGUUAAUUUGGCUAAAAUGAAUAGAAAUGUAUAUUUAAUUAUAUUUGGUUAGUUCAACCCGAAUCAUAAAGUUAUACGCUUAGAUGCUUUUACAUACUUCUUUUAAAAUCAAAUGUUUAAUUUGCUUAAAUUGUUCUUAAAUAUUUAGAAAUAAAAUUGGACUAAGCUUUACAUUAUCUUUUCAUAUGUAAAUAUGACUUGAUUAAUUCCAACUAAGGAUAUUUUUCUGAAAUAUCUUUACAAUAUUUUUCUCGGCUAAAAUAAAUGAAACAUGUAGCUCUUGUCUUUUCUUUUACAAUCCAAACCGCUCGAUAGCUUUGUCUUUUCAACCAUAGCACCGUUUCUAGUCUUUCUUGCAGCCUUGCGUUCCUAGAAUCGAGCCCUAUCUUUUAGUAUGCUGUUUUAAAGCUUGUCUUUUGAUUGGUGUACUGUUCUUAGUUGUGAUUGUUUGUUUGCUUUGUAUACUUGUGCCUGAUGAUUGCUUCGAGUAGAAAGAUCGCUAUUCGAAAGAUUUGAAGGUUAAGAGUUUCAAGAGAGUAAGAGCUGAAGAGCAUUAAGAGUAACUUUUCUUUGGAGAAAGGCAAGUGUCCCUAACCACCCUUCUGUCUAUACUUAUUUAUAAUACCAUGAUAAUGUUAAUUGGAAUAUGGAUCGACCACCCAGGAAAACAGUACAACCACAAGAACUAUAUGACUCUAGUCUUGGCUAAUUAAUUAGAGACUCUAAUUUGGGGUAAUCUUACCGAAAGGGCAAGAGGGGAGGCGUUGAUGGGGUAUAGCCCGACCCUCAGGCUGAUCUGCUUUAUGGUAGCUUCGCAGUCUUGAGAGAGGUUUAUGUUCUGCUUCAACCUGAAACCUUAGCGGGUUGCUACUUAUUAGGGAAAUCUUUGUAAAGUUCUCGUAGCGUCCCUAUGCAGUGACACCUCGGUAGUGUGAUGAGUACCUGAUCAACACAGUAUGGUUGGGUCUAAAGUUUUUCUGAACUUUUACACGACUUGUCGGUAAAGAUGUACAACCUCUGCAGAGUGUAAAACUGAUAUAUCAGCCAUGCUCACGGUCAAGAGUGGCUUGGAUCCUCACAUGAUUAAUAAACUUGAAGAUGGAUCUAAAAUCGUUAUUUUGGUUAUUUCAUGUGGCCUUGCUGAGUACCAACUAUACUUGCUUAAUGCUGCUCAGAAGAAGAAGGUGUGUGAAGUUUUUUGAAGAUGAUGUUGAGUUCUAGGCGUACGCAACCCGCAACCCCCAGUCGAUUGCCUGUGAAGUUUGGAGCCUUCAUUUCCAGGAUUAAGCUGUAUAUCUCUGAUAGACUCGUAAGUCAUUAUUUAUAUUCCUUUACGUGAUACUGUUACUAUUAUUCACUAAUGAUGUCACUAUAUGUAUGAAACUAGAUCCUGGCAUACAUAUAGGUAGCACUUGGUUUUGUUAAAACCGGGUGUGACAUACCCCCUCCCAACCAUUGAUAACACAUCCCUAGCUAAAUUAAGCCAACUGAAGACAACCACAAAACUUCUUAUAAAUACGGACCACUUCCCUACAUUCCCAAAUCACCUCCACAUUCAACUUGGUCAGGUAAGUAGCCAUACCGGUAAUAUUUCGGCCAGAAUUCACUUCUAUCCUCAAAUUCCAGUUAAAAUCUGUCCAUAUUCCAAAAUUUUCGCCCGAAAACCGGCAUGCCGGCCCUACCUCUCUAUUCCACAAGGGUGCAUGAACACUGUAUGAUACACAAAUUAUACAUUCCAUGAACUAGUUAUCCAUUUCUAAAUUGAUUAAAAUAGAAAUACAAACACGGUGUUUGUUUGAAAAAAGUUGAAUAUAUAUGAAACCAAUAUUGAAAAAAAUAGACUGAGCUGCUGGUGGAAUCUAUCUAACCCAGGGAAUGAAGCAAAGGACAAUUACUUUAUUCGACAUGCAUGCUGCUGGCUCAUAUGCUUCUCUCAAGGCCAGAGAUGUAAAUAUUUCAAUUUGGGCAUUAGUGACGGUCCAUCUCUAGAUGUGACUUUCACAUAAUUCUCUGUAAAAAUGACAAAUUAAAACCUUAUGAAAUAUUUUCACAAGUCCAAAGCGAUUAUUUUUGUCAGAAUUUAUACGUGGGUGUAGAAUAAACAGCUACACCUAAAAUAUAUACAAUAGCACUUACACGUUUAUUUAUUGAUGGCUGAAUGAAGUAUAUACGAAAUAGAUAAGCAUACUCCUUUAAUUUAUACAUAACUUAUACAUAUAAAUUUGACAUAUAACUUUGUACUAACAAUUUUUUAUGGGAUAAUUUUUCAACACAACUUCUCUAAAGGAUAACUUCAUUCUUUAUUUUAGAAAGUUAUAAAUUACACGCAUGAUUUAUACACACAAAUAUUUUCCUAACAACAAUUUACGUGAUAAAUUUUGCAACAACAAUUUACGCAGGAUAGAACCGCAUGCAAUUAAGCAUCGGUACCAAGUUUCUGACGGCAGGUGUGGUCGCAUGCAUGCGCUCGGGAUGGAGGAAAUAACCGCAUGCAUGCUUCGCUGUGCCUGUUGUCGUCAUCUUGGGGAUCAACGACGACGGAGCCCGGCACUGGCACCACCGUACCGGCAAACGGCUGGAGAACGCGGGCUGGCACGGCGGACCAGAAAGAAACACGAACAAGCCAAGCCUCGGGCCGCGCCCAUGAUCCCUGCAAGAACAAUCGCCACCGAGCCCAAUGAACUACGUACUGUUUUUUUCUCUUCUUGAUCCAAAGGCCGCCCCAACCCGGCCAGCCCGCUUGCAGAUCAUGCACCGGCUAAGCCUUUGUUGGUGGAUCCAAG